rnacentral:rRNA from 1 species
UACGUAUGGGGCAAGCGUUAUCCGGAUUUACUGGGUGUAAAGGGAGCGUAGGCGGCAGGGCAAGCCUGAUGUGAAAGCCCGGGGCUCAACCCCGGGACUGCAUUGGGAACUGCCCUGCUGGAGUGCCGGAGGGGCAGGCGGAAUUCCUAGUGUAGCGGUGAAAUGCGUAGAUAUUAGGAGGAACGCCAGUGGCGAAGGCGGCCUGCUGGACGGUGACUGACGCUGAGGCUCGAAAGCGUGGGGAGCAAACAGG